ensembl:lincRNA
GCUUCAGAUGGGCUUGAGGUGGGUGAUAAAGAAGCCGAGGAACAGACAGGAUGGGGGCGGGGGCGUGUACACGUGGGAGCCUCUGUUCCUUCAGCAGCACUUCAUUCAGCAUAUUAUUAAAAGGAACCAGUUCUAGUGCACAGCUUCCAGGGAUGAGCAAUGGAGGACAGAAUGGAAUAGAGCAGGAACUAAGCAAGGAUGCUAAUGCAAGAUAUAGCCGUUCUUUUCCAGGAUGGCAGAGCCUUCAGAACCAGCAACUUGUACCCUCCAUCAUGCAGAGGCCCAGAGAGGGACAGAGACCUGCCCAACCUCCCAGCAAGGAAGCAGACAGUGAAGAUUCAAAACCACAGUUGCUGUCUCCUCAUUCCCAGAGGAGGUUCUAGAUGAGCCCCAUUACAGGGAUGCAUCUGCACUGCCACCCGCCAAGGGGCUCCAUGCCCAUGAUGCUGAUGGCCCGGGACCUUUCUUCCUUUCCAGGCUGUCCCUCCCUCUCGGGUCCCUGAGAGGACAAUGUGGCUAAGGAGCUUGGGGAGAAGACAUCCUCUUGAGAACUGCUUUCCAGCACGUCCCACCUUCUGAAACUCAAGGAGAUGAUUAAAAGAGAAAAGCCUUGCUCUGGACCCACCUGCAGCAUUAAGAACCAUGGGUUGGGCCAGGUGUGGUGGCUCAUGCCUAUAAUUCUCCUAGCACUUCGGGAGGCUGAGGUGGGCAGAUCACUUGAGGUCAGGAGUUCGAGACCAGCCUGACCAACAUGGCGAAACCCCGCUACUAAAAAUACAAAAUUAGCUAGGUAUGGUGGCACUGUAAUCCCAGCUACUUGGGAGGCUGAGGCAGGAGACUCACUUGAACCCAGGACGCAGAGGUUGCAGUGAGCUGAGAUUGUGCCACUGCACUCCAGCCUGGGCGACAGAGCAAGACUCUGUCUCAAAAAAAAAAAAAACAGAAGCAGCAGCAGCAGCAGCAGCAUGGGUUGGUGCCGGCAUGAACUAAAACAUUAGAUAAUAUGAACAAAGCUGCAUUUGUUGGACACUAUGUACCACAGACAUCGUUCAUUCACUCAGUAGAUAACUACUGUGUGCCCAUUUGCAUUUGCUGGGAACAUUUUCGUGACCAAAACAGACAAGAUCCUUCACCCAUAGACUAUUUCUGAAUCUUCUCAACUUCUCACCGGGUAAGUGCUGUCAUCCAUGAUUGAGAAAUGGCUCAAUAAAAUGACAUGCCCAAGGUCAGAUGGCAAAGACAUGGCAGGCAGGCAGCGAAUUAUCAAACAGGCAGGACUUCCAAGACAGGAGGAAACAGAUGGGGAGAGGGACCUACCAAGGUCACAGCAGUUUUUUGGGCAGCUGACACGUGCCUCUGCUGCCCACAUGAUGAGGCACAGAACCUAGCACAGGGAGUGCUCAGCCUGUGACCGUGAGCUGGAUGUGGGAGUCUCCCCAGAGCCCUCGGUGUACUCAGAGCAUUUCCUCUCUGGAGGUGGGAGGAGGAAAGCACAGGAAGCAGACUUAGCGGACCAGAGACGGGAUCCUAGCUGGGCCAGUCACUGACAAGUCACAUGGUCUUGGGCAAGUCAUUCCCUUAUCUGAGCCUCGGUUUUCCCAUCUGUAAAAUAGAGGUAAUGAUACUAAUUCCUACCUCAUAAUUGUGCUGCGAAGAUGAAAUGAGUUACGCCAUGCUGUACAUUACCCAUUGAUAGUGUCUCAGUGGCCUUUCACUGAAAAGGUGUGUGACAGUGUGCCACGCUCUGAAACGGCUCGCCCCCUGUGAUGGUGCUGGGGCUAGAACCUGGGCAACCUCCCAGCGCGUGCUCUACCGCAUCACUACAUCCACCUCAAGGGCCCCCUCCAGCCCCUCUCUAAGCCCCAUUUUGAGUUCCCAAGCUGCCUGCAGCCUGAACCACACAGCCAGCUGUCCUUGUCACCCAACUCUCAACAUCUGCAAGCUCAGCGUGGGGCAGCCAGGUCCUGAUUUGCUCCCGUCACUCCUUUCAGCUCCCAGCCCGCACUCUUUCUAGUGUGGGGCUCAGAAGUGAAAUAAAGGAAUAAAUACAUGAUGAAAGAGAGGCAUGUGUGUUUUGUGUGUGAGUGUGGGGUCCAGGAUCUGGGUGCCAGGGAUGGGGGGUGGUCACUUCCUAGGGACUUUGGGGCCUCUGGGGCCAGCUCCAGUCUGGAUCUGCAGCAGAUGCUAGGAGUAGCUGAUGGCCAGUAGCCAUGCCCUAGGCGAGGGAGCUGCCACUGAUACAGAGAGGACUGGUCUUUGGACAGAGGCCCGGCAGGUACCCAGGCUGGACUGUCGUUCCUCCAAGUCCUCUCGGGAUGCUAGUGGGCCAUCUCCAACUUGACAAGCAUUUCUAAUUCCAAGCCCAGCAAGCCUCCUUAGAGCAGCGGCCUCUGGCACCCACAUCAUUAUCAGAGAAUAAUCCUGUAUCCAGGGCCCACUAGGUGCCAAUCACUUUGGUGGCACUUUGUUCACCACCAAAGUGACUUUCAGAGAGGGCUCAUGGAGGCAAAGUGACUUGCCUAAGGUCACGCUGCUAGCACGUGGCCAAGAAUUCAGCAAAACCAGGACUCUUAUUAAGUGAGACUGACGGUCGUAUUAGAGAUGGAUCAAUUCCCUCAUCUCAACUCUAGAAGGAAACACAAGCUCAGAGAGGGCAAAUCCCUUGUCUAAGUCACACAGCCAGUUAGCUUGAGAGCUGGGAUUUGAUCCAGGCUUGGGGGUUGCCUGGGCCAUGUAAGAAACUAAACUGGGGCCGGAUGCGGUGGCUCACGCCUAUAAUCCCUGCACUUUGGGAGGCCGAGGCGGGUGGAUCAUGAGGUCAAGAGAUCGAGACCAUCCUGGUCAACAUGGGUAACAAGAUCGAAACUCCAUCUCAAAAAAAAAGAAAAGAAACUAAAUUGGAAGUUUCCCAUCACCCUCAGCCCUCCCUACUCCCAUCCUCUCUGAUGACGCUUGACAUUAUCCGUCACUCCCUCCCCCUGGGAACGCCCUCCUCCUCCAGUUUCCAUGGUAGCACAUUCUCCCCAUCCUCCUCCUGCUUCUCUGGCAGCUGCUCACUCCCCAUGGUGGCUCCUGAGCCAGGAAGCCAGGGGAUUCCCCAAGCCAGAUCGCCAGUCUCUCCUCUCUCUCCAUCAUGACAGCUCAUGUACUCUUCCCUGUGGGUCUCUAGCUCUGACCCUGAACUCUGGCUCCACUUUUAAGCAAUAACAGCCACUUACCAUGUACUUAGAGUUUACUUAUGUGCAGGGCCCUAUCCCUAUACAUACAUUAAAUCCUCACAACCACCCAUGAAGGAAGUCCACUUUACCGAUGAGGAAACUGAGGCUCAGAGAAGGAAAGCCAAGAUCUGAUUCCAGCCUUAACCACUACUUGUAUUGCAUCAAGUCGAGGUAUGAGGGCUGGGCACAGUGGCUCACACCUGUAAUCCCAGCUACUCAGGAGGCUGAGGCAGGAGAAUUACUUGAACCCAGGAGGCGGAGGUUACAGUGAGCCGAGAUGGUGCCACUGCACUCCAGCCUGUGCAUCACAGAGAGACCCUGUCUCAAAAAUAAAAUAAAAUAAAACAAAUGAAUAAAAAUAAAAUUGCUGGGGAUGGUGACAUACACCCGUCAGCCAAGAUAUUCAGGAGGCUGAGGUGGGAGGAUCACUUAAGCUCAGGAGUUUGAGACUGCAGUGAGCUAUGAUUGCACCACUGCACUUACACUCCAGGCUGGGUAACAGAGCAAGACCCUGUCUCAAAAAAAAAAAAAAAAAAAAGACAAGGAUGAAGGUGAAGAAGAGGAGAUCUGGAACAGUAGGACAUUUUGAAAUUUUGAAAUCGGGGCAAAAACUUCUCCCUCCGCCUGGAGGGAGAGAAAUGGAAAUUUUGGGGGAAACAGGCGUACUCUGCAGUUUUGAGAACCCUGUGAAGAUCUAGAAUUAUACUGUCAAUUCAGAGCUUUAACAGGCACCAUGCACAGUACAUUCCGAAACGUGAAGAUUCGGAGAGCUUCAGGAGGAACAAAAGUUCAUAGAAAAUUGCCCGUUUCCUUUAGAUUUUUCCAUUUGGUUUUAGGUCUUCAAAAAACCUCAUUCUCAAGAUUAAAAAAAAGAACAUUAAAAAAUGAAAAAAAA